UUCUUAACAAAAGACAACAAGGAAAAAGAACCAUUAUCAUUAUUAUUAUAAUCAAGGUCCAAAAUCAUAAAACCAUAUGAAGUAAAACCUUUUCCAUAAUAAAUAGUUCCAAGAUGAAUCUCAACAAUGUCAUUCUCAAAACUAAAAAAAAGUCUAAUUGGAGCAUAGCAAGAAUAGAAAACUAGUUCUGCCUGAUUUCUGAAGCAUAAAGUAUAUCGUGAAGGUAUAAAGUGCGACCAUCUCGCAUGAUCAAUUUGUACGUGCCAACGCCUAGUACAUCGACACUUGAAUCAUUCCCCAUGUAUACUCUUCUGCUCCCAGCAGGUACACGACAGUACACGAAAGUACUCGACAAAUCCCAUCCGAUCCCUCGUUAUGUGGUCUGUUGCUCCCGAGUCUACAAUCCACUUAGGAAGAGAUUCAACAACAAACAUGCUAAAAGAAACUAAAGAGCGAGAAUCAGGAUAAAGAGGUAUAUUCUUCAGCUCAGUGCAAUCACGAGCGAAGUGUCCCAGCUGAUUGCAAUUGAAACAGGUCAUUUUCGACUUGUCUUUAUUGCUACCUUAUUUGCUUUUGGUGUUCUUCGAGUUCUUAGGCGCAGAUUGCUGUCUUUGAGGCCUACUAGUCCUCCUCCGCUUGAAUCCAGAUGUUCUGUGAAAGUUUGACUGAGCAGCAUUGGCUGUUGGAGUUUUAAUAGCCUUAAGGCGCUCUUCCUCUGAGUCUAGAUGCCGCGCAACAUCCUCAAAAGUUUUAACACUUUCAUUAUGUGUCAAAUUUACUCGCAUAUAUUUCUACGAAUUGGGAAGUGAGCGAAUCAUAGCUUGAAUCUGCUGCUAAUUAGUCAAGGUGGCCCUAGCUGAUUUUAACUUGCGAAUCAUAUUUGACAUUAUUUUCAUGUGUUUUUUUGUGGUCUGAUCAGCAUGCUUCUUAUAACUAUCAAAUUGCUAGUCAGGCUACGCAACCCUGUGGCCGAAGUCGCACCAAAUUUAGUUUUGAGUCUCCCACAUGUCAUACGCAAUUAGGUAUUGGUCAUACUCGCAUAAGAGAUCAUUCUGCAACGUGAUGCGAGCAAUGCGAUCUUUUUUAAGCCAAUUAUUAUAGGCUUCCAUUAUCUCAGCGAUCUUGUGCACUGUUGCCCUCUGUGGGUUGGUCCAUCUUAUUAAUUAAGUUUUCCAGGAUCUCUUGCUCAGCGAGAAUAUAUUGAAUUUUACGGUGCCAAAUAUCAUAAAUGUCGCCGUCCAAUUUCUUGCCUUUAAUUAGAUCAGCAACAACUUGUUUGGAGGCCAUAUUAUCUCACUAAGUUCAUAUAGUGUGCAGAAAUUUUUUUUAAAAAAAUUAGCACACGAUACAUAUAUUCAAUUUUGUCGCAUCUCUAAUUAAACAAACUAAAAGUUGGAUCAUAGGUGCGUAAAGAAAAAUUUUGUUGUGCUUAUAAUCACAUCAUAUACCCUACAUCAAAUUUUUAAUUAUUUAAUUAAGUUGUACAAAAUAUUUGGGAGUAAAAAUCUAUAUUUGAGAAUAAAUUAUUAUUUGAUGGAUCAGUUGAAAUGAAUGGUUCAAAAUGACUGGAGAUGAAAAUAUUACAAAAAAGAUAGACAUUUUCGGGAAGAGGAAGAAAAAAGAAAAACUCAAGUUUUUAUUAGUAUAGAUAAGCUUGGAUUAAUUAUAGAUGUGACAGUUUUUCUAUAUUUCUAACUAUUAUGAUGAUAAAACGGGAACACAUAAGGUAAAUCUAAUUAAUCUGAAUUUAAAACAAAAGAAUCAAGAUGUAUACUCUAGAGAUGGCAUCAGAAUCAGAAUCUAACUCACAUCCUAAGCCAACUAUACAAUAUCUACAACCUCUACCUACUCCAACUUGACUAAGAAGACUUGACGAACUUAACUUAAUAGAUGUAGCUAUCUACACCCCCCAUCUUGAUCUCUUUUUGCACUUUUCUUCCUUUUGCCGGCAGGGAUAUUAUUUGCCCACAGAGAAACN
rnacentral:lncRNA from 1 species